rnacentral:rRNA from 1 species
UACGUAGGGUGCAAGCGUUAAUCGGAAUUACUGGGCGUAAAGCGUGCGCAGGCGGUUCUAUAAGACAGAUGUGAAAUCCCCGGGCUCAACCUGGGAACUGCAUUUGUGACUGUAGAGCUGGAGUGCGGCAGAGGGGGAUGGAAUUCCUGGUGUAGCAGUGAAAUGCGUAGAUAUCAGGAGGAAUACCGAUGGCGAAGGCAGGUCUCUGGGCCAAUACUGACGCUCAUGCACGAAAGCGUGGGGAGCAAACAGG